rnacentral:rRNA from 1 species
ACGGGAGGCAGCAGUGAGGAAUAUUGGUCAAUGGGCGAGAGCCUGAACCAGCCAAGUCGCGUGAAGGAAGAAGGUUCUAUGGAUUGUAAACUUCUUUUGUCUGAGGGUAAAGUGAGAGAUGCGUCUCUUAUUGCAAGUAUCAGACGAAUAAGCAUCGGCUAACUCCGUGCCAGCAGCCGCGGUAAUACGGAGGAUGCGAGCGUUAUCCGGAUUUAUUGGGUUUAAAGGGUGCGUAGGCGGGAUGUUAAGUCAGCGGUGAAAGCGUGUAGCUCAACUAUACCAAGCUGUUGAAACUGGCGUUCUUGAGAGUAAACGAGGUAGGCGGAAUGUGAUGUGUAGCGGUGAAAUGCUUAGAUAUGUCACAGAACUCCGAUUGCGAAGGCAGCUACCAGGAUACGUCUGACGCUGAGGCACGAAAGCGUGGGUAUCAAACAGGAUUAGAUACCCUGGUA